AGUCUGGGUGAAGCAUACAACACCACUACCUCCUUGUGUGACUUUUCUCUCUCUUCAUCUGGUCUGGGCAAGCACCUAGGCUAUUCUUGGAGUAUCACAUUCAUAGUUGUAGAAUUCAGCAAUAUUAGACUAAUGCCUGUGUAAAGGUGUUUGAAAGUGGCAUAGCUUGAAGAGGAAGAUGCUCCGUUUACACUGUCCACUAGCAGUUUAUGCAAACUGGCUGCAUAUCUGCACAUCCUAAACCAUGAGGAUAAGGACCAAUCUUCAGAAUUGUUUAAAAGGUUUACAGCUGCUUUCAUUGAAAUAAAUGUACUGGAAACAACAGAAUCAGGAAUUGGUGCAAAGGCUAUAACAUUUGCAUAAAGAAACCAUUAUGAAGGUACCAGAGGGAACAUGGAAAUACAGAACAACAUAAAUGUUAGAAAAAAGCACCCAGAAAUUAAAAAUUUCUGAUGUCUUCAGAUUAAUAGAAAAGGGUUGGCAUCUUUCAUGGUGACAUUAAGCCAAAGUGUCUAUCAGGACACAGAAUUUCAAGGACUGCCCUCAUAAUCCGGUAAUGGAGCCAAAAUCUCUAUUGCACAAAUGCUUGACAAAUACUUAUUAUUUUCUGGAGAACUCAAAGCUGCACCUCAUCCUGAGCCCUUGGAAUAUUCCAGCAAAACUUUUCAAGUGGAUGCUGUAAAUACUGACCAAGAAGGCACCUGGCAUUUUUGUCUUUGUUCUUUCUAUUUCUCAGCAUUGCUGUCAGUGUCAGUAUUCCCAUUGGAAAGUCUGAGGCUGGAUCCUGGACAAGGCAGAAAGGUGAGCCAGAAAGGUGAAGAGCCUCUUCUCCUUUCCCUUGUGCACUCACCCAGAGACCACCUUUCAACAAGAAGGUAAAAUUUCAGCAUUCAAGGGAAAAAAAAUGCUGCCUGUAACUUACCCGGAGUAACAGCUAACUGUCUGCAAACAUGUGAAACAGAAUGAUAACAUCUUUUGAUCAGCACACCACAAAGCAUAAAAUACCUUGUACCCUCUGACUUAUUACCUUUGUUUUUUUUUUUUAAACGAGCAUUAUGUGAAAGAUCCUAUAGACUGGCAGCCCUUCAAAGAAAGUUCUCAGCACUGGAGUCGUAGCUCACCCCCUCAUUUCCCCUCCCAGGCCCUGACGCUAGUCAUCCCAGUGUACUGAUACAACUGCUCACAGGGAAGG